UACAGAGGUCUCAAGCGUUUGUUCGGAUUCAUUGGGCGUAAAGGGUGCGUAGGUGGCGCUGUAAGUCGGGUGUGAAAUUUCGGAGCUUAACUCCGAAACUGCAUUCGAUACUGCCGUGCUUGAGGACUGGAGAGGAGACUGGAAUUUACGGUGUAGCGGUGAAAUGCGUAGAUAUCGUAAGGAAGACCAGUGGCGAAGGCGGGUCUCUGGACAGUUCCUGACGCUGAGGCACGAAGGCCAGGGGAGCAAACGGGG
rnacentral:rRNA from 1 species